rnacentral:misc_RNA from 1 species
UUUGUACACACCGCCCGUCACACCCGAGAGUUUGUAACACCCGAAGUCGGUGAGGUAACCUUUUGGAGCCAGCCGCCGAAGGUGGGACAGAUGAUUGGGGUGAAGUCGUAACAAGGUAGCCGUAUCGGAAGGUGCGGCUGGAUCACCUCCUUUCUAAGGAUAUUAUACGGAAUAUAAGACCUUGCGGUCUUAUAGACAGGUGCGUUUGGAUCUUGUUUAGUUUUGAAGGAUCAUUCCUUCAAAGCGUGUUCUUUGAAAACUAGAUAACAGUAGACAUCACAUUCAAUUAGUAAUGCAAGAUAUCACGUAGUGAUUCUUUUUAAC